rnacentral:lncRNA from 1 species
UGUAUGAGAUCUUCCCUUUGACGCAAGCCCAUGUAAACACACCAUACCAUGGGAUCACUUGAUCCCUCUCGGUACAUCUUGUAUGCUUUGUGUGUUGAUCAUCUUGAUUUACUCUUUGUCUGAGAUCUUGAUCAACCAUGUUUCUCUAUGACCAUUCUUUGGAUAAUACCUUGAGUACCAUCUUGGUCAUCAUAUAAACUC